AAGUCACCACCCUGCCCCCACACCAGCCCCCACCCCGCUUCCCCGCCCCAUCAAUGGCUCCACUGUUCUCCAGCGACCCCGGUGUGAAACUUCAGAGUCAUUUUCGACUCAUCCGCCCCCUUCAUCCCCCCGCAGCUAAUCAGCAGCCACGACAGCUUUUCCUUCAAAACGCUGCUCACAUCCGUUGUCCCUCCCUGGUAGUCGAGUCCCCUCCGUCUGAAGUCUGGAUGAUUUCGUCCGCUUUCUAACGGGCCAGUGUCCCCUCACCUUCCAUCACACCCAGCAGAGCUCUGGAAAUGCCACAAGUGCGCUCCUCCUAGGAACGCACCCCUGUGAGCCGGCAUGGGAUGAGCUGCCCUGACUGUCAGCGAGGGCCCGGGGGAGGCUGGGGUCUCGGUCUUGGGGGUAGAGGGAGCCCCGGGUGGAGUCUGGGGGUGCACAUAGUAAACGCCGACCCUUCCCCGUCAUGUCCCGAGUGGGUCACCUCCCGAGACAGCCCUCCUGGUGCGCACACGCAUGUCCACGCACACGUUGGUUCAGUCACACCUGUUGACUCUGCUCUUCGUUACGCGUAGUGCUGAGCGUGUGCAGGGGCUCCAGGAUGGUUAAGACGUGGGCUUCGCAGAGGAGGGGCCGUUCAGCUGGGUCUUGGAGGACGGGGCGUAGUUCGGCUGAGCAACAAUGCUUCCGGUGGGGCAGGCAGCCUGUCCAUGGCGUGCGUAGAGGGGCUGGAAGGCACUUGGCAUGGCCAGUGCUGAGAGGGACCGGGUGGGCCAGGGACGGGCUCCCCGCUGCUCAGGGGUGAGCAACGGCAGGGACCCCUUAUCGCCAUCUGGAAUUCAUGUCCCCUGAGCGGAGCUGACUCCCCCAGCCACGGAGGCAACUCCUCUGUAAAAAAAAUCAAAGUGACAGUCUGUGGGCCUGACACUUGACAGUUUACACAAUGCUGUCCUUCCCUAGGCCCUUGUCUUUCUUUCCCGUGAGGUGGGACUGGACAGGGCUUGUUGCUUGCAUUUUACAGAUGAGGAAGCUGAGGCCCACAGAGGGGUAGGAGCUUGCCCAGGGUGACCAGCUGGUCUUGGGCAGAGUCAGGCCUGGAAGCUCCCUGGUCCUGGAUCCCAGAGUCUAGAGGUCACUGGGAAGGGAGGGGGCUCAAGCCUGGUGCCCCAGGUCCUCCUGGGGAGGGGCAGCCUCUGUGGGACUAGAUGGGCCGAUAGGUCCAGCUGCUGGGAGCCCCGGACCGAGGAUCGUGCCCACUGGGUCUCGCCAGGGCAAACCAUGCUGGUCUGGCUCAGCCUCUGCCACGGAGCCCCCUUCUGGGGUGCGCUGGGGGCAGGGGUCUGGCCCGAAGAAGCGGGAGGGACUGGGUGGCGGAUUUGUGUUUCCACUUGAUUUCCUCAGUUGUUUUCCAAGAGCGGUGGCAGGAUCCCCAGGGGCGGGGUGGAGGCGGGGAGGCCACCGGAAGGCACCACGGCCCUGCUGCCCGCCCCCCACGUGACUCCCCUGACUGACGACAGUACCGCGUGGAAGCGCCUCGAGGCUUCCGUCCUGGCGAGGGUGUGACGUGGGCCAGGGCACUGGGCCCGCGCUUGGUGACUUCCCGCGUGACCCGCAGCGUCUCCAGUGCUCUUUCCACUGGGCCCAAACCUUAGACUGUGAGUGCCUGCGACAGCCACCUGACCCCGCUUGCAGCAGAACCCCAUAGCCAGGCACCCAGGACCCCAGUUCUCCCAGUUCCCCUCCGACCUCUCCAGCUGCCCCUCUCAGCUCCAUGGCCAGCUCCCCCUCCUCCAGCUGCCUUGCCACGGGCCAUCGGUCCCCAACUGCCCCAGCCGGGCCACCCUGGGCUCACGUCCCCACUGGUUAUCUUCCCUGCCUUCCGGGGCUGCCCUCGCUCCCGUCCCUGGCCUCAGGCCUGGCCUCUCCCCUUUCACUCCCCGCUGCGUCCUGGGCCUAUUUGCACCUUCUCAGACUGGUGGCGAGGGGUGGGGUCAGCUGCUCCUGGCUUCAGGAUCCGCUCCGCCACCUCCUGGCUGAGUGGUAACAGUUGAAUUGCAGCCCUUCUCUGUGCUUCCGUGCUGGAUCUAAGGAGACAGAGGUGCUUGGCACAGGGCGGGGUGGGGCAGGUAACGCAAGAGUUCAAAGGAGCCAGGCUUCUCCCAGCGUUAGAAUCCCAGCUCUGACACCAGCUGUGCACCCCUCAACAAUGAUGAUGACAGCUCCCCGAGCCUCAGUUUCCUCCUCUGUAAAAUGGGUACAAUAAUAGUUCCUUCCCAUUGGGACGGAAUGAACUACUCCCACAGGCGGGAUUCUCAACCUGGCUAGGGAGUUGUGCCAUACAGCUCUGAACAGUGGGUCAGAAUCAGCCAGAGACAAGGGGGGUGGGGGCUCCACAGGGAGGGCAGGGCUUGAGCAGAGGCUGGACAUGGAAACCGGGAGCUUUAAGCCCAAGGCUGGAAGGGGUGGAGGUGAGACUCGGAGCUCUGGCCUAGGAGGGGCUGGGGCUACCCAGGAUCCCACCCCAGCCUCCCCACCCCACGUUGCCAGCCAGGGCGCAGCCCUCACCUUUCCUGCUCUCCCAGCUGGUUCCCUGCUCCGUGCCUUUAUUAUGCUGGUCCUUCCACAAGCCCUCUGGUGCCUCCUGGCCUAUGCAAACCCUACCCAUCCCUCAUGAUACUACAACUACAACUUGCUUCCUCCAGGAAGCCUCUGGGCCCCCUGCCAUGGCCAUGCCCCUCUCCCUCCCCCACUCCCUCUCUCUCCUGCUCCUGUUUUCUCUCACUCCUCUGCAGCCCUGCCUGUUGCACAAAUCCACCGUGUUGACCAUCUUGUAAGUGGUGCACAGGCCUGGAGCCCAGCAGGACCCCGUGACCAUUAACCACCAUCAGCAGUGCCUCCCUGCCGGCUUUACACCCACCCCAGCGCGCGCACAGCUCUCACCUCAUCUGAUCCUCACCACCACCCUCUGGGGCCAGAAAGGAUGAGGUCCACUGGGCAAAUGAGGAUGCAGAGGCUUGAGAGGCCCGGGCUGCCUACAGCAAGUCAGGGGGGGCAGACAGGAUCACAGGGGUCUCUCUCUCGCCUGGCCCACGGUGCCUACCAUGGCUGGGGUGCUCUCUGUUCAGUUGGAACCCCCAAAUCUGUCCUGUUUUGUCCCUCUGGGCCUCACAGCCUCCCUCUCCUACCCACUGGCCCCUCUGUUGUCUGAAGCCCCCUCAUACUGUCACUACUUUCUGUAGCAACUGCCCCACCCCACCUCACAGCUCCAGGCACUGGACAGGGCUGAGCUGGGGCCACAGGUGCAUGGGAACACACAGAGGUGCAGGGAAGGGCCUAGCACUAGGGGUCGGGAGGCACUGCCCCUUCGGCUGGUGACCAUCUGCCAUCUCUCACCUCUUACAGCCUAUUUCCACCCCCUGAGGAUUGAUCUGUACCCACCAGACCUGCGAGGCGCAUGUGGUGUUACAGAUGAGGAAUCUGGGGCUCUGGGAGGCCAGGGACCUGCCUGAGGUGGAAGGCAGGGUGCUGAGCCCCUGCUUUUCUGGGCUGUUUGCUGAUGUCACAACACAGUGGGGCUGGGGGGGGGGGGCUCCCGAGAGCCCUUUGUGAAGCUCGAAAAACUGCCCGAAGAAGAGGCUUCGUUCUUCGACCAGGGGUCCACAGGCAAGGAUCGCGCUCCAGUGGGUCCCCUUCGGACACCUGGGACCCCACCAUCUGUGAGCCGCCCCCCACCCCGGAGGUGGGGGAAGCCUUGCUCUCUUUAGGGCCCUGCCUGGCCCAAGGACCAUGUGACCCAUUCUUAGCACCUAGAAAGUGCUGGGCCAACACUUACUCAGAGAACGGUUGCACCUGUGAUGGGAGGGUGGGAAGCCGGGGAGGAGGAGUGCGAGAGGGGAGCACGCAGGGUUAGGGGCUGUGGCAAAAGUCCUGCUGGGUCUCCAGCUCUCGCCCUUGACCUCUGCCGUCUAUCUCGCACACGGCAGCCAGAGAGUCCUUGUUGAAAUGGAACUCAGACGACUCGAGCCCUGCUCCAAGCUCCCGUGGGCCCUUCACACCUGGGCCCCUCCAGCCUUCCCGGUGAUCUGACCCCCGGCUCACUCCAGCCACUCUGGUCUCCUAGCUCUUCUGAGACUCACAGCACAGUCCCUCUCAGGGCCUUUGCAAGCGCUGUACCAACUGACUGGAGUAUUCUCUGCCCAGAUGUUCCUCCUCUCUCCAUUCAGAUCUUUGUCGAAUAGCACACCCUUGCAGGGGCCUUCCCUGACCACCAUUUCUAAUGUAACCCCUCCUGUCACUGUCUCCCUUUGCCCUGCUUUGUCAUCAUCGAGCUUGUAGCCACCUGCCAUUAGCCUGUUUACCUGUUCCUCAUCUGCCCCCUGAGGGCAGGGUGGUCUGUUUGGUCCACUGCUGAGCCCCAGAGCCGGGUCAGCGCUGGGCACAGGGCUCCAUGUGUAUUUGUGGAGGAAGGAAGGAAGGAAGGAUCUCUUUCUCCUGCUUAUUCAUGGGGUGCCUCCCACACGUGGCCCAGUGUCAGGUGCUUUUAGAACGACGGGCAUCAGCAGAAGGGACCACUGCUCACCUCAGCCAGGCUGGCCGCGAGGUACACGUGACGAGCCCAGAGCACAGUGGCUUCUUCCGGUAUCCUGUGCCUCAUAACAGAUGCGGUCUCUAGAGGCCUGAGAACCCGGGCUCGUGGGUCGAGAUGGGAAGGGGAGAAAGCUGGUGGGGCUGAAAGAUUUAAUUAAAGUUUGGAAAAAACUUACAGCAAAACUCUGCAAAGAUGGAAGGGACUUCCUCAGGAGGAAAUACACCGCCUGGCAGCAGAGGGAGGCUGGUGGAGGCUGGGCAGCCCUGGAGCCGGGACCAGCCCUAGGACCUGCGGCCGUGCUGCCAGGACUCGGAGUGGAGGGGUGCCCUCGGGGUGGGGUGGGCCGGCCCUGAGGCUGGAAGCAGGCAGGGGUCACACGUCUGGCCAGGCCCAGGCAGCGGAAGCCACGGCUCCAGUCCCCCGUCUAAAGGUAGCUGGGCCCCGGCCAAGCGGCCAUCUUGGGGCUCUGGGCCCUCCGACCGCAGACCAGGCCUGGGAGACAGGAAAUUGCGGGCUCAGGGCCGGAAAGGCCCCCCAGUGGGCCCUCGCUCCCUCCUGCCUCCCGAAGUGGCCUCGGGCUCCUGCGCCCCGCGCCCAUGGGGUUAACUCUCUCCCUGUCUCUCUCUCUCCAAGUUGUUUUCCAAGCGAGGCAGAGAAUGGUUCUCUUGUUACCAACAUGGCUUCUGGGCAUUGGGUAAUGUGCGCCUCUUCUCCCGGCCGCUCCACAAAGGGACCUUUUGUUCCCCUCCCUGCCCCUCUCUCUGGCUCUUCCCCGGCCCCCCACACACCCACCCGCUCCGACUCCCUCCUGCCCGCGCCUCCCGCCCUGCACGACACCCCCGGGCCGCCAGGAGUGACCGUGGCCUGGCCGUGGCGCCCUCCGUCCCCUGGCACCCCGCGAGCGGGCGCAGGGCCUGGUGGCUUCUGGGAGGCCACGGGGGGCAGGGUACAGGGUGCCUGGGGCACCAUGUGAGUUCUUGUGGUGCACCUCCUGUCCCAGGGAGGGGACCCUCCGCCCCCCACCCCAGGCCUCUUCCCUGCCUCGAGACAAGCUGCCCCUCCCAUCCACCAUCCCACUCCAACGGCACAGCAGCCUUGGGGUGGGAGUGACGACCCAUCUAUCCCCCAAGGUGGAGGCUGAGGCUCGGAGGGGGAGUGUCCUAACCAGGUGCUGCAGCUGGACCCAGCCGUGUGCCCCUCCCCCCCAAAACCUCCCUGAGAAAGAGCCCUCAGGAUGCACCCCGUCCCACGGGAAACACCGGGAUGGGGCUGAGCCUCCAGCGAAAACCUAAAACCAAGUUUUCUGGAAUUUUUUUGAAAAUGAAACAGAAUGUGUCCAAGAUGGGAGUGUCAGGAAGCCAGUCGGUAUUGAAGUACCUGCUCUCAGAGAAGAUGGUCUCUGUCUACUGUCCCCUCCCUUUCCCCUCCUGACAGCCCUGCAAGGCAGGUGAGGAUGGGCUGACGACGCGUUUUUCAGAUGAGGAAACUGAGGCACAGAGAGGCUGCCCAGCCAGGACUUGGGGCUCACCCAGGUGACUCCUGCCCUGGGCAUCUCUCUCCAGCGCUAAUGCCCACCCACCCCUUGAGAGGUCUGGGGCCUUGGGGAGGGGACUUAGGCAGAUCCCAGCAACCCUGGUUCCCUUGUCUGGAAUCGCAGAAGCCAGAGGCCUGAGGAGGUUGUGCUCAGAUGCUCCAAAUAGUCACCAAUUCCUCCAUCUCAUGCUGUCCCCGAAUUUACAGUGACGUGAACCAGCGAAGUGACCGCUCGUGGAGCACCCGCACGGUGCUGGCAGCGUGCAGUCACCUGUAACCUCAGUGCUGGGCUGGGGCCUUCGGUCCAUGGCAAGAAGAGGUAAAAUCUGUUGACAUGGUGAUGGAUGGGAUGGGGGGGCAAGGGGGCCAGAGGGAGAAGGAAGCCCCUAGUCCUGCCCUCAAGGAGCCACAGUCCAGGAGGAGUGACAUAUCAGUAAAGAGCCAGCAUGUUGCAAGACAGGCAGCCUGGGAGCUCAUCACCAGGCUGGGAGGUGGGGGAAGGAGGGCUUCCUGGAGGAGGUGACUGUGCAUGGAGCCUCAAAAGAUGAGUGAAAGUUCACCAGGCAAAGAAAUUGGGAGAGAAGGUGGGGACGGAGCUGGUGUCGGGGGUGAGGCUGGGAAGACGGCGAGCGGUAUGUGUUGGUGUGGGGAGGCCCCACUAGGCCCGUGUGCUGGAGCAGAGCGGGAGCAGGGAAGGUGGGAGAGCUGGGCAGAGGGAAAGAGCCGUGUGGGAUACAGAGGGCAGGGAAGAAGGGCUCCUGAAGACUGCACUGGAUCCUGAGGGCAGUGGGGUGGUCACUGAAGGAUUUUAAAGGGGUCGGAUUUGUGUUCUAGAAAGAUCUUACGGGCUGGAUCUAUGCCAGUCUGGUUUAUGACUGUUUUCCCAGCACCCAGCUCAGUAACGGGCACACAGUAGGGGCUCGAUAAAUGUUUUCAAUCAAUACAUGAAUGCCAACAGUGUACCCUGAGGCUGUGGUUGACUCCAGCACUGGGACCUUGGGCCCUCAGUUUCCUUGCUUGUAAAACGAGGGUAACAACACCUGCCUCUUGGGAGGUGAAAGGAAGUAGCACGGGCAAGGCCUCCCUCGGUGUCCUGCACGUGGUCAGCCCGCCACGAUCCGAGCAGCAUGUGCUGUGGGCAAGACAGAGGCAGGGACCCGGGUCAGGAGCGGUGGAGUCACCCAGGUGAGAGAAUAAUAUUAACAACAACAAUAAUGUUUAUUAAGGGCUUAAGUUCUGGGACUCCCUUAGUGGUCCAGUGGUUAAGAUUCUGUGCUUCCAUUGCAGGGGGCGGGGGUUCGAUCCCUGGUCGAUGAACUAAGAUCCUACAUGCUGUGUGGUGUGGCCACAAAAAAAAAAAAAAAGGGCUUAAGUUCUUUACAUAUUUUAUUCAUAUAAUCUUCAAGACAAGUGAAUGGAGAAGGCAGUAUUUUAUAGGUCAUCCCAAUUUUAUCGUCCAGGAAACUGAGGAUCAGACAGGUGAGGUGACUGGCCCGAGGCCCUGAGGCCAGUGAGUGGUGGACAGAACUGCACUGGACACCAGAGCCCAGCUUGUGACCACUAAGCUGGUGAUGGAGACAGGUCAGGGCAGCCACCAGGGCAGGGAGAGGUGGGGGGACAGAGUCAGACUGAUGGAUCAGAUGGUGGGGGCAGGCCUUGGAGAGGGAGGUAUCAAGGAUGCCCCUAGCUUCUGGCCUGGAUGACCAGGUGGAAGGUCAUUCCAUUUCCUGAGUGAGGGACACAGCGGGAUAGGCAGGCUUGGGGAGGAAGGACACGCUGAGUCUGAGGGGCUGUUAGGGUGUCUGGGUGGGGAUGCCCGGGAGGUCUGGAGUCUAGGCGGGGUGGUCUGGAUGAGGGCGAAAUGAGCUCAUAGGGCAAGUGGAAGGCAUGUGGGUGGGUGGAGGAGCCCCAGCCCUGGAGGUGAUGUCGACAGCAGACGUUACACAGCGUUGACUCUGGGCCAGACAUGAUCCUAAGCCCUGGUAUUAUUUCAAUUCUCCCAACAAACCCUGCGAGGGAACACCAUUACCAUCCCCAUUUUAUAGAUGGGGAAACUCAGGCAAGAGACAUUCCGUUUGGAAUGUCAGAAUAGGUACAUCUGUAGAGACAGAGAGUAGAGUGGUGGUUCCCUAGGGCUGGGGAGUUAAGGGAUGAUGUCUAAAGGGUACAGGGUUUAUUUUGGGGGGUGAUGAAAAUGUCCUAAAAUGAUUGUGGUGAUGGCUGUACAACUCUAUAAAUAUACUAAAAAACAUUGAACUGUGUACUUCAGAUGCGUGAAUUACAUGUCAAUAAAGCCAGGGGAGAGAGAGAGGCGCCCAGCCAGUAGAGGGAAGCAGGGCUUGAGGGGCAGGGGAGCCUCGGGAGCGGGAAGGAGGGUGGUUUGGGUGAGAAGCUGGGGGAGGAUGCUGUCUGCAGCAUGAGCUGCUCCCGACUGGUCCAGGGUGUGAGACCUGGACGUUCCUUGGAGUUUGUCAGUCCAGGUUCCCUGGUGACCUGGUCCACACUGGUUGGGGACCCGGCCCUGUGGGUGGACGGGCCCUUCUGGCAGUGGAGAUCGCAAGAGGAGUGCGUCAUCCUUUGGGACCUGGAUGGAGAUCUCUCCACCUCAGGAAGCAGUAAACCCCCAACCAGGAAGCUUUGGAGGCUUGCCGCCCCUGACUUUGGGUGGAGGCUGGGGAGGAAUGAGGGUAGGAAAAUGCCUCAGUUGCUCUUCCUGAAAGAGCGAGACCCCCAGUCAACAGCUCACCCAGAAGUUUCGCACCUCAGCUUCUCCCACAAGAGGGCCCUGGAAUCUGCUGGGGGUCCAGGAGGAUGGGAGGGUGUGAAGGGAAGGCUGGGGUAUGGCGGUCCCCCUUCCUCCCGGCACUGAUGCUGGUCACUGCCAGGAGCACAUCCAGGCCUCCCGACUGAGAAUGGCUGCGACCGACCCAUGGUCCCAGCCAAGGAUGGGGCUGCGCGGAGAGGCUCGAGGGGCCCCCUGGGCGUGUGAAGAGCAGGAGAUGAGGCAGCUCUGGGCAGCUCCCCAGGCCUUCUGUGGCCACAGCCGCCGUGCCCCUUUUGUUCAGGGUUCAUUUAGCCCCCUGCACCCCCGCCCCAUGCCUCAGGACUUGUCUCCGUGAUGCAGGAGGCUGGCAGGGAGACUGGGUUGGGCCUGCGCUCAGGACCUCCAUGGGGCCAGGAUCCCGAGAGGGGGGCGGAGCAUGCGUGAUUCUCUCAGGAGGCUGAGGCUCAGAGGGUCUUGCUGGAGUCCCUACACCCCCAUCAGGCACUUCUCCCUGGGGAGCCCCGCACGGCCCCACUCAGAGCCCAUUUCUUCUCCUUUAUUUCUAUUUUUAUUUUUUGUGUUACGCGGGCCACUCACUGUUGUGGCCUCUCCCGUUGCGGGCACAGGCUCCGGACGCGCAGGUUCAGCGGCCAUGGCUCACGGGCACAGCCGCUCCGCGGCAUGUGGGAUCUUCCCGGACCGGGGCACGAACCCGCGUCCCCUGCAUCGGCAGGCGGACUCUCAACCACUGCACCACCAGAGAAGCCCCUCUACUUUUUGAUGCAGUUGUGGUGCUUCGAUUUCCUAGAUCAGAGCAGAAGAAGAUCAUUAGAAACGUGCAUGGAGGGAGGGAGGGAGGGUCCAGAAAGAGGGAAAUAGUUGCUAAAACUCAAAACAUUUGCCGAGAGGGUCUGUAUUAUAUUUAAUUAUUCUUAUCGUAAAACAAACGCAAACCACAGUUGCUGACUUGGCUUUAACAACAUUUGUAGCGCACUCUAAGGGAGGACCCCGAGCCACUGUAUAACAACAGGCCACCUGUGGGCACUGCCAGGCGGCUGGUCACAGGACCCAUGGAUGCUGUCCUGGCUGUCACUGCUGAAUGCCUUGAUACAAGUGGAGGCUGCAUUUGUAGGACAUUUUGUUAAAGCAGGCUAGGUAUAAAUAAAGACUUAUGCCCACAGAUGCCUACUGCAACUCACAGAAUAGUGAAAACCUGGCCACUGCCUCAGUGUUCAGCACUGGGGGCUUGGGGCUUGGCGAAAUGAAUCACAGCACCUUCCUAUGACAGAAUGUGAUGCAGCCACUAAAAAUGAUGCUUAUGAAAAAUUGUAAUAACAUAGGAAACGCUUUUGGUAUAAAACCAGGAUACAAAAUGGUAUUUGCAUAUAUAUUACAUCAAUAGAAAGAGAAAAGGAAAAACUAACUGCUGUGAGCUCGACUUCAUUUCACAACAUAUAAGGAAAAAACAGAAAACACAAAAACGCUCACCUUAUUUAUUUCUGGGUGGUGGGAUUUAGAGUGAUUUUUAAAUUUUUAGUACUUUGUCUUUUAUUGUAUUUCCAAAUUUCUACAAUAAACACUUUCAAGUUUGAAAGUUAUUUGAAGUAAA